AACGAACGCUGGCGGCAUGCCUAACACAUGCAAGUCGAACGAGACCUUCGGGUCUAGUGGCGCACGGGUGCGUAACGCGUGGGAACCUGCCCUUAGGUUCCGAAUACCUCCCCGACAGGGGGGCUAAUACCGGAUAAUGUCCUCGGACCAAAGGUUUAUCCACUUUGGAUGGGCCCGCGUUGGUUUAGCUAGUUGGGAUGGUAAAAGCCUACCAAGGCUACGAUCGAUAGCUGGUCAGAGAGGAAGAUCAGCCACACUGGGACUGGGAAGCGGCCCAGACUCCUACGGGAGGCAGGAGUGGGUAAUACUGGACUAUCGCCGAAGGGCUGAAGCAGCAAGGGCGCGUGAGUGAUGAAGGCCUUAGGGAUGUAAAGCACUUUUACCCGCGAUUAUACUGACGGUACCGGGAGAAUAAGCACCGGCUAACUUCGUG
rnacentral:rRNA from 1 species